CGGCGGGAGAGAAGGCGAGGGAGGUGGACGCAUGGAAGAAAGACGAGGGGUGCGGCCGAGUAGCGACGCGCGGGUCC
rnacentral:sRNA from 1 species